CAUGCCGCGUGUGUGAAGAAGGCUUCGGGUUGUAAAGCACUUUCAGUCAGGAGGAAAGGUUAGUAGUUAAUACCUGCUAGCUGUGACGUUACUGACAGAAGAAGCACCGGCUAACUCCGUGCCAGCAGCCGCGGUAAUACGGAGGGUGCGAGCGUUAAUCGGAAUUACUGGGCGUAAAGCGUACGCAGGCGGUUUGUUAAGCGAGAUGUGAAAGCCCUGGGCUCAACCUGGGAACUGCAUUUCGAACUGGCAAACUAAGUGUGAUAGAGGGUGGUAAAUUUCAGGUGUAGCGGUGAAAUGCGUAAGAUCUGAAGGAAUACCGAUGGCGAAGGCAGCCACCUGGGUCAACACUGACGCUCAUGUACGAAAGCGUGGGGAGCAAACGGGAUUAGAUACCCCGGUAGUCCACGCCGUAAACGAUGUCUACUAGAAGCUCGGGUCCUCGGACUUGUUUUUCAAAGCUAACGCAUUAAGUAGACCGCCUGGGGAGUACGGCCGCAAGGUUAAAACUCAAAUGAAUUGACGGGGGCCCGCACAAGCGGUGGAGCAUGUGGUUUAAUUCGAAUGCAACGCGAAGAACCUUACCUACACUUGACUAUACAGAGAACUUACCAGAGAUGGUUUUGGUGCCUUCGGGAAACUCUGAUACAGGUGCUGAUGC
rnacentral:rRNA from 1 species